CUCCCUCGAUCCCCUUCCUUCCCAUGAAUGCACGCGCCGCAGCCUCCCUCCCUCUCUCUCUACCUGAUCCAGAUCGAUGAAGCCGCCUCUCGCACCGUGUCGGAAGGUCCCUCCGCCGCCACCCCCUCUCCUAGACCCGGCCAUCCUCCCUUCCGCCACCUGCUCCUAUUCUAGUCGCCCCCUUCGUCCUCCCACAACAGAUCGAGCAGGGUCCCCAAACCUCACCGGCGAUAGAUGCACCGCCGCCUAGCAGCGACGGCGUCGCGGCCUGCUGGCUCGCCAGCUUGCUUGUGCUUCAAUGCUCGCCCUCCUUCGAGCUGGCCGGACCGCGGCGGCGUGUUAUCUAGGGUUUGCGGUGACUUUGCCCCACGCCAUCCACGCGCGAACCUCUCCAUCCGCUAGGUUUGGGCUACCGUGUCGCUGGUGUGCCUCUGUCAUUGUUCCGGUGACCCAGAUCUGUCGUCGCUCGAGCUCCGGGACGCCAUGGACUGGAUGGCCACUUCCUCCCCUGCUCCGACGCCAUAGAGGACGCCUCCUCACUGCCACGUCUACUUGCUGCCGCGUCUCUCUGUGGUGGUCUAUUGGUUGUGAUCUCAAUCCGCCCCAAUGGAUUCGCCGACGUUGGUGUGCACUGGGCAGCUCAAGGACACGCUUUAAUUCCAGCAAUAGCGGGAGUGCCAUAUUGGACAAAGGAAGAGGAUGAGAAGAAAUGAGGCUUGGGCGUGAGUGGGUGCUGGGUGGCGGCGGCCUUCCACUACCUGCCCCAUGGCACCUCACUCUACCGCGGUGGCAACGGAAUGCUCAUCACCUCGUAGGGAAGAUUUGAACCAAGUGACCGCAAGGAUUGUUUGACAAUGUGUAGGUCAAUCUCACCCUUGUGGAGAAAUACUAUUUUUUCUCCAGAUUUAGCCUACACUGUCCAGGUUGUAUGCUUCUUCUGAGAUCCCAUCAAGGAUGGUCUGAAGCACUCAGAACAAGCGGAGGGUAGGAGGGCACUAGAAGCUUUGUUUCUCAUUGAUGUUAUGUGUGAUCAACUAAAACUUGUGCUUCUCAUCCAAUCUUUGUAGAACUAUGUUGUUGUGCGCUUGUGCACUUGUUGGUUCCUUUUGUUGUGCACUUGCACUGGUAGAACUACUUUUCUUUGCACUUUUAGAAUUAUUUUGAUGUGCACUUGUUGGGCCUUGAACCUUGGAUGUGUAGAGGAGUCGAUGGAUGAUGUAUUUUAUUUCAUGUGAUUUGCUACUUGUAGGAGAUAUGCCCUAGAGGCAAUAAUAAAUGAUAUUAUUUA